UAUUGACAAGCUAGAAUGUAUCUGGGGAAGAAUGAACCAAAUGAUCACAGGUUUGCAAAUCAAGCCCGAUGAGGAAUGGUUUAGAGAACUGGAACUAACCGGUGUCUACUGUCAGUGAUGGACCGAAAGAAGGUGAACAAAUAAAAAUGUAAUUCAUAGAAAAC
rnacentral:lncRNA from 11 species